rnacentral:tRNA from 1 species
GCCCCCUUAGCUCAUGCAUGGUUAGAGCAGCGGACUCAUAAUCCGUUGGUGCGUGGUUCAACUCCACGAGGGGGCACCA